GUUGAUUACAGCAUUUUCUGCCCUAUAAGCAACUAUAUAUUUAUAUAUGUUCUCUCUGUGCAUUUAUAGCUCUCCAGUAUGAAUCAAUGAUCAACUUUCACCAGUAAAUUAUUUUGGCCCUUGAAUUCUCUGAAGAAUCGAGAAAUGCCUAGAGAAGUGUUCUGUCAGAAUAAAAAAACACCUUUUAGAUACCACAACCCAAAUACCAACAUAACGUGUCAGAAAAACCAAAGAAAAAGAAGAGAAAAUGAGGCGAGAAGAAAGAAAAGGAAAAGAGAAUAAAAAAGAAAAAGGAAAAAUUAAUAGUAGAGAUAUACAUAUCAUUUAUCAGUUGCUAUAAGUCUCUAUGACUUCCAGAGCUCUGGAAUUGAUCCUCUUUAUUUUUCGC
rnacentral:lncRNA from 11 species